rfam:TPA: Bos taurus chromosome 17, whole genome shotgun sequence.
UCCCUGGUGGUUCAGUGGUUUGGACUCAGUGCUCCCAAUGCAGGGGGCCCAGGUUCAAUCCCUGGUCAGGGAG